ACAUCCAAGGAAGGCAGCAGGCGCGCAAAUUGCCCAAUAGCAACACUGCUGAGGCAGCUAAGAGAAAUAGCAACUUCUGACACAACGUGUUAUGGAGCUUGCAAUGGAUAGUAGUUAAACCUCCUAAUGAGUAUCGAUUGGUGGACAAGUCUGGUGCCAGCACCCGCGGUAAUUCCAGCACCAAUAGCGUAUAUUAAUGCUGCUGCUGUUAAAAAGCUCGUAGUUGGAUCCAGAGUUCAGGUUGUAGGAUGCCACGGUUUUUCCUGAGGGCGUAAUGUCUAAUUGAUUGCUGCGGAUCAAACAUCCUGCAUCAAGACCUGCACUCUAGUUUACGAUGGUAAUGGCACCCUGUGAGUAGGCUCCUUCAUUGGAGUUGAAAGCGACUACGCGUAUACCAUGCGCACACGGGUCGACCAUCGAAGUUACUGUGAACAAACCAGCGUGCCCAAUGCAGGCGUAAGCCUUGAAUGGUAAAGCAUGGAAUAACAAGGGAUCGAUUCUCUCAGAUCACUUUGUUGGUUUACUGCCUGAGAAGGAGUAAUUCGGACUGUCGGACUCUUCUUGUUUCUUCGGAUUCAUGCAAGACCACUGUCCAGCGGGAUCAAUAGGGACUGCCGGGGUCGUACGUAUUCCCACGUCAGANNUGAAAUUCUUAGAUCGCGGGAAGACGAACUUCUGCGAAAGCAUUCGACAAGAAUGUCUUCAUUAAUCAAGAACGAGAGUGUGGGGGAUCGAAGAUGAUCAGAUACCGNCGUAGUCCACGACUGUAAACGACGCCGUCUCAGGAUCGAANGGUGCGCUAUUAC
rnacentral:rRNA from 1 species